rnacentral:rRNA from 1 species
UACGGAGGGUGCGAGCGUUGUCCGGAAUCACUGGGCGUAAAGGGCGCGUAGGCGGCGCGGAAAGUCAACGGUGAAAGCUCGGGGCUCAACCCCGAGACGUCGGUUGAAACCGUAUGGCUAGAGUCCGGAAGAGGAGAGUGGAAUUCCCGGUGUAGCGGUGAAAUGCGCAGAUAUCGGGAAGAACACCCGUGGCGAAGGCGGCUCUCUGGGACGGUACUGACGCUGAGACGCGAAAGCGUGGGGAGCGAACAGG